AACGAACGCUGGCGGCAUGCCUAACACAUGCAAGUCGAACGAAACCUUCGGGUCUAGUGGCGCACGGGUGCGUAACGCGUGGGAACCUGCCCUUAGGUUCGGAAUAACUCCCCGAAAGGGGUGCUAAUACCGGAUCAUGUCUUCGGACCAAAGAUUUAUCGCCUUUGGAUGGGCCCGCGUUGGAUUAGCUAGUUGGUAGGGUAAAAGCCUACCAAGGCGACGAUCCAUAGCUGGUCUGAGAGGAUGAUCAGCCACACUGGGACUGAGACACGGCCCAGACUCCUACGGGAGGCAGCAGUGGGGAAUAUUGGACAAUGGGCGAAAGCCUGAUCCAGCAAUGCCGCGUGAGUGAUGAAGGCCUUAGGGUUGUAAAGCUCUUUUACCCGGGAUGAUAAUGACAGUACCGGGAGAAUAAGCUCCGGCUAACUCCGUG
rnacentral:rRNA from 1 species